GCCUCGGUGGCGGAAUGGUAGACGCAGCGGAUUCAAAAUCCGCCGUUGGUAACAACGUGAGAGUUCGAGUCUCUCCCGGGGCACCA
rnacentral:tRNA from 3 species